AUUGAACGCUGGCGGCAGGCCUAACACAUGCAAGUCGAGCGAGCGGCGGACGGGUGAGUAAUGUAUGGGGACUGCCCGAUAGAUGGGGAUAACUACUGGAAACGGUGGUUAAUACCGCAUACUAUCGGAUAACCCAGAUGGGAUUAGCUAGUAGGUGGGGUAAAGGCUCACCAAGGGGACGAUCGCUAGCUGGUCUGAGAGGAUGAUCAGCCACACUGGAACUGAGACACGGCCCAGACUCCUACGGAGGCAGCAGUGGGGAAUAUUGCACAAUGGGCACAAGCCUGAUGCAGCCAUGCCGCGUGUAUGAAGAAGGCCCUAGGGUUGUAAAGUACUUUCAGCCGGGAGGCGUUACCGACAGAAGAAGCACCGGCUAACUCCGUGCCAGCAGCCGCGGUAAUAC
rnacentral:rRNA from 1 species